CCCUUAGAUGUUCUGGGCCGCACGCGCGCUACACUGAUGAAUUCAACGAGCCCCUAACCUAGGCCGAAGGGUCCGGGUAAUCUUUGAAAUUUCAUCGUGAUGGGGAUAGAUUAUUGCAAUUAUUAAUCUUCAACGAGGAAUUCCUAGUAAGCGCGAGUCAUCAGCUCGCGUUGAUUACGUCCCUGCCCUUUGUACACACCGCCCGUCGCUCCUACCGAUUGAAUGGUCCGGUGAAAUGUUCGGACCGCGACAAGGCGGACGGUUCGCUGUCAGCUUUGCUGCGGGAAGUUCAUUAAACCUUAUCAUUUAGAGGAAGGAGAAGUCGUAACA
rnacentral:rRNA from 1 species